rnacentral:rRNA from 1 species
GACGAACGCUGGCGGCGUGCCUAAUACAUGCAAGUCGAACGCAGUGGGGACGGGUGCGUAACACGUGGGUAACCUCCCAUCAGAGGGGAUAACACUUGGCAACAGGUGCUAACCCGAUAUUGAAGGAUGGCCCCGCGGUGCAUUGGCGAGUUGGUGAGGCAACGGCGCACCAAGGCCACGAUGCAUAGCCGGCCUGAGAGGGUGAUCGGCCACACUGGGACGGAGACACGGCCCAGACUCCUACGGGAGGCAGCAGUAGGGAAUCUUCGGCAAUGGACGAAAGUCUGACCGAGCAAUGCCGCGUGAGUGAAGAAGGUUUUCGGAUCGUAAAACACUGUUGUUAGAGAAGCGGUAUCUAACCAGAAAGCCACGGCUAACUACGUGCCAGCAGCCGCGGUAAUUC